rnacentral:rRNA from 1 species
AUUGAACGCUGGCGGCAUGCCUUACACAUGCAAGUCGAACGGUAACGCGGGGCAACCUGGCGACGAGUGGCGAACGGGUGAGUAAUGUAUCGGAACGUGCCCAGUUGUGGGGGAUAACUGCUCGAAAGAGCAGCUAAUACCGCAUACGACCUGAGGGUGAAAGCGGGGGAUCGCAAGACCUCGCGCAAUUGGAGCGGCCGAGAUCAGAUUAGGUAGGUGGUGGGGUAAAGGCCCACCAAGCCAACGAUCUGUAGCUGGUCUGAGAGGACGACCAGCCACACUGGGACUGAGACACGGCCCAGACUCCUACGGGAGGCAGCAGUGGGGAAUUUUGGACAAUGGACGCAAGUCUGAUCCAGCCAUGCCGCGUGCGGGAAGAAGGCCUUCGGGUUGUAAACCGCUUUUGUCAGGGAAGAAAAGGGCGACUCUAAUACAGUUGCCUCAUGACGGUACCUGAAGAAUAAGCACCGGCUAACUACGUGCCAGCCGCCGCAGUAAAAC